rnacentral:rRNA from 1 species
AUGAACGCUGGCGGCGUGCCUAAUACCUGCAAGUCGCGCGAACAGACGAGGAGCUUGCUCCUCUGACGUUAGCGGCGGACGGGUGAGUAACACGUGGAUAACCUACCUAUAAGACUGGGAUAACUUCGGGAAACCGGAGCUAAUACCGGAUAAUAUAUUGAACCGCAUGGUUCAAUAGUGAAAGACGGUUUUGCUGUCACUUAUAGAUGGAUCCGCGCCGCAUUAGCUAGUUGGUAAGGUAACGGCUUACCAAGGCAACGAUGCGUAGCCGACCUGAGAGGGUGAUCGGCCACACUGGAUCUGAGACACGGUCCAGACUCCUACGGGAGGCAGCAGUAGGGAAUCUUCCGCAAUGGGCGAAAGCUUGACGGAGCAACGCCGCGUGAGUGAUGAAGGUCUUCGGAUCGUAAAACUCUGUUAUUAGGGAAGAACAAAUGUGUAAGUAACUAUGCACGUCUUGACGGUACCUAAUCAGAAAGCCACGGCUAACUACGUG